rnacentral:rRNA from 1 species
AACGAACGCUGGCGGCAGGCUUAACACAUGCAAGUCGAGCGCCCCGCAAGGGGAGCGGCAGACGGGUGAGUAACGCGUGGGAAUCUACCCAUCUCUACGGAAUAACGCAUGGAAACGUGUGCUAAUACCGUAUACGUCCUUCGGGAGAAAGAUUUAUCGGUGACUGGAUGAGCCCGCGUUGGAUUAGCUAGUUGGUGGGGUAAAGGCCUACCAAGGCGACGAUCCAUAGCUGGUCUGAGAGGAUGAUCAGCCACACUGGGACUGAGACACGGCCCAGACUCCUACGGGAGGGAGGAGUGGGAAAUAUUGGACAAUGGGCGCAAGCCUGAGCCAGCUAUUGCGCGUAAGUGAUGUAGGCCCUAGGGUUGUAAAGCUCUUCCACCGGUGAAGAUAAUGACGGUAACCGGAGAAGAAGCCCCGGCUAACUUCGUGCCAGCCGCCGCCGUAAGAC